rnacentral:rRNA from 1 species
CCUACGGGUGGCAGCAGUGGGGGAUAUUGCACAAUGGGGGAAACCCUGAUGCAGCGACGCCGCGUGUGGGAAGACGGUCCUCUGGAUUGUAAACCACUGUAGCCAGGGACGAAGAUGACGGUACCGGGGGAGGAAGCGCCGGCUAACUACGUGCCAGCAGCCGAGGUAAUAAGGAGGGAGCGAGCGUUGUCCGGAAUUACUGGGUGUAAAGGGAGCGGAGGCGGGGCUGCAAGGUGGGUGUCAACACUACCGGCUCCACUCGUAGUCGCACUCGAAACUGCCGCUCUUGAGUGAAGUCGAGGCAGGCGGAAUUCCUAGUGUAGCGGUGACAUGCGUAGAUAUUAGGCGGAACACCAGUGGCGAAGGCGGCCUGCUGGGCUUUUACUGACGCUGAGGCUC